rnacentral:rRNA from 1 species
UACGUAGGGCGCAAGCGUUGUCCGGAAUUAUUGGGCGUAAAGAGCUCGUAGGCGGCCAGUUGCGUCCGCUGUGAAAUCCCGGGGCUUAACCCCGGGCGUGCAGUGGAUACGGGCUGGCUGGAGGCAGGCAGGGGAGAACGGAAUUCCUGGUGUAGCGGUGAAAUGCGCAGAUAUCAGGAGGAACACCGGUGGCGAAGGCGGUUCUCUGGGCCUGUACUGACGCUGAGGCGCGACAGCGUGGGGGAGCAAACAGG